GGUUUAAUUCGAAGCAACGCGAAGAACCUUACCAAGUCUUGACAUCCCGAUGACAGAACAUGUAAUGUGUUUUCUCUUCGGAGCAUCGGUGACAGGUGGUGCAUGGUUGUCGUCAGCUCGUGUCGUGAGAUGUUGGGUUAAGUCCCGCAACGAGCGCAACCCCUAUUCUUAGUAGCCAGCGGGUAAGCCGGGCACUCUAGGGAGACUGCCAGGGAUAACCUGGA
rnacentral:rRNA from 1 species